GGGAUAUAUAAGAAAUAUACAUUUUCCUUGCACUUUAUUUUCCAAUUUGGAGUAAAUUUAUACAAGAGAAUUUACACUUUUAUACAAGAGUAUUAUUUUACACUUACUUUCCUUCUCGAAAAAAUUAAAUAACUUUUUCCUCUUUAUUUUUCACUCCCUUCCCAAACAUAGCAUAGAGUAGGUGCACAUAUUGUUGUCAUUUAUCAUGGGCUAAUUCAAUCCACUUGGGUACUUGGUAUAAAUGUGCAAUAAACCAUUCUUAGGUCCUUGAAGCAUGCAACUUUGGAAUCCUUGGGCAUUGGAGGACCCUUUUCACCUGCUUAUGUAUGCUUUCUUUGUUCAACUUAAAAGUGUGCCAUGUAUUCGUCUUAAUGUGUUUGAAUAUACUUGAAUGGUUUGAUUUUGUUUGUCCACCAAUUGAGGCAUAAAACUGAUGCUUCUAAAAGUUAAUGCUCAACAUAGAUUGUAUGUGCAUGUGAUCACAUACGCAAGCAGGUCUAAAUGUGUGCAUUGGUUUUAAAUAAUAGUCAUUAUUUAAAGGUUUUUUGGCCUCCCGUUACCGAUCCAUCUGUUAUU
rnacentral:misc_RNA from 1 species